rnacentral:lncRNA from 1 species
GCAUUCAUCUUUGCAUCAUGUGCAUUGCAUCAUGUCAUAAAUCUUUUGCAUCUCAACUAAAUAAUUUGUGUGGAUCUUCGAUCCAUUUAAAUCGAGGGAAGGAUGACUUCUCUUUAUAAUAUAUCCUCCCGAUAUUAGUGGAGCUAUUAUAAAAUUAUCCAUUCUUAUGGAAUCACCUAAAACACACUUGCAAAUUUCCCCAUGCCUUUGUUAUCUCGCUGCUUGACCUCGAACCUUGCCAUUUAUUCUUUCAUCAUUUUCCGGAGCUCUACCAAAAUUCUCAACAUUUUUGGAAACUCCUAGAACCUACCCUAGUUCAAACCUUUUGAAUUAAAUUCAAAGAAAUUUGAAUUUAUUCUUUCAAUCUUGGUCUUUCCUAAUUUUCUCAGACCUAACAUAUUUUUGUGAGUCCGGCAAAUUUAUCCNNNNNNNNNNNNNNNNNNNNNNNNNNNNNNNNNNNNNNNNNNNNNNNNNNNNNNNNNNNNNNNNNNNNNNNNNNNNNNNNNNNNNNNNNNNNNNNNNNNNNNNNNNNNNNNNNNNNNNNNNNNNNNNNNNNNNNNNNNNNNNNNNNNNNNNNNNNNNNNNNNNNNNNNNNNNNNNNNNNNNNNNNNNNNNNNNNNNNNNNNNNNNNNNNNNNNNNNNNNNNNNNNNNNNNNNNNNNNNNNNNNNNNNNNNNNNNNNNNNNNNNNNNNNNNNNNNNNNNNNNNNNNNNNNNNNNNUUCUUUCUUGUUAUUCUCUUGUUUUCUGAUAAAGAAAAUAUUAAGAGAAAGAAGGGAGAGAGAGGCGGCCUACUCCACUGGCCACUUGGGCCUCCCCCCAGGCUGGCCCAACCAUCUCCCGUUCCCUCAGCCCACCAAAUCCCUAAACCUAACCUAGAGCCCGAGUCAUCCCCACGCGCUCCCCUUCUCCUCAAACCCCCUCCUUCCUUGCUUUCCCUUCCGCCGCCGCUACCCAUGCACGCGCUCGCAGCGCCAGGAGCCCGAUCCCCUCACUCAACUCCCUCGACCUCACUCGACCUCCUUGACAUCACGGUCCUCGCAGCGCCUCCCGAGCGCCAUGGCCGCCGCCCGCUCCCUGCAGUCGCCCCUCGCUGGCUCCUGUAGGCCGCCGCUCGGCUCCCUCGCGCCGCCACCACGUGAGUCUCCCUGCGCCCUUGCCUCGACCGCCCCUGCCUUGGCCUUCCUAGAGCUCUGCGCUGCUGCUCUGCUCCACGCGCCCAUCCUAUAGCUCGUCUGCCUCGGCAAGCCGCCGCCGCGCCAAGUCCCCGCAUCUCCGGCCGCUCCCCUGCAGCUCCUCGUCCACCUCGUGUGCGACCUCCCCUGUUGCGCUGCUGCAGCACCUUCAACACGCCUUCGCCUCCUGCUGCCGGCACGCCGCCAUAUCUCCGUUGCCUGGCGACCCUCUGCAUCCACCGGCACGCCUGCAUGCCUCCUGCUCGCCUUGUCCCUCUUGUUGCCACGCCUUGAGCUCCAUCCCGCGAACAGCUGUUCCAGGCGAACCUUUCUCCUGCUGUUCCUGCAUUCCCAUGGCCCUGAAAACCCACUGCUACUUCAGGCACCAUGUCCACAAACCCUGUUGCCGUUGCAUGCGACCAGUUCGUUCUGUCCCUUCGAACACUGUCAAGCAGAGCCUUUUGCCAUGUUCUGUCUUGGAUCACGCCAAGACCAUCUCAAGCUCGACUACGGUGUGUUGUCCCAACCAAGACCACAAGUACCACGGCGGCCCUCCAAGAGUUUGGAUUUGACAAGUUCGACAACGCUCUUGUACAACUACGUUACCGAGAUCGGCAAGACCGAUUACACGAACCGACAUGUACCACUAUGUCUGAAGACCUCGAACCCGUCAAGUACCGCGAGAACGUUUGUACAUCUAACGUCGUCUUCGUAAUCUCUAAGAACGUCAAGUACCCCUUCGAGAUGACGAGACCGGCAUGUUUGGAUGACCCUAAGUACCUCUUCGAAACGACCGAGUACCAUUACCAUCGGACGCUCGAACGACAGCAGGCCGAAAAGUCAAGUUCCUCGAUGAACCAUGUACGACUACCAUUUCUCGCGGAUUCACCUAAGCACCAUGAUAUGGAAGACCGUACAAGUUACCGUUGCCGUGUACGACUACCGUCGCCUUGGAGAUGUUGGGUUCAUCAAGUUCCUCUUCGGAAAAGUACCACUACUUCCCUUGACAACCCGUGAACGACUACUUCCUCUACUUCCCUCGAUGAACUCGAACCAUCCUAUUUGCACGCUUUGAAGGUAUAACCUUGAGACGACGUCCGUGAACGAAUGCUUGCGAUGUUUGAGAUGCUCGUGUUUGCACCGUGUCCAAAUUGUCACUCGUUUCCUUGUCGCCAACUCGUGGGACACCCGGAAUCCGGGAGCGCCCCACCAUUUUUUGCACGCAUCCGCACACUUCUCCUUUGCAUCGGUAUCUCAAUCGAGUUACCGGAACUAGAACGCUGUCGUGGCACCGUUUUCUUUAUCGUUGCCGUGGCACCCUUUUUCCUUCCACCACAGUGAGAAAUGCCUUAUAAUGCUCUUGUCAACUUUUAAUAAAAAAUUGCAUAAACUUGUUCAUGUCAUCCGCAUCAUGAUAACAACAAUUAAAAUGUUUAAAUUGUUGUUGCAAUAAAUUACUAAUGCAUAUGGGGAUUUACCGGAUUUGUUGUUUGUUAUAUCCGGCCCCAUUUAAACUAUUUAAUGGGAAUAGUUUUGUUAUGCUUCACCUCUUGCCAUGUUAACCAACAUUUAAUAUUGUUGUGUACUUAAACGGGAGAGAACUAAAUAAUUGAUGUGGUGUUUUGUCAAUAUGCAUCCCGAUGCAUAUUGAGCUCCACUUAAUUUGUAGGAUUGCUUGUGCACUUUGCCAUGCCAUGUAUACUUAAACCGGACAUGCAUCAUACUUGAUUGUGCAUCAUGCCAUGAUUAUGUGAUGGUUGUUUACCAUGAUUGUUUGCUUCUUUCUGGUGUUGCUUCUUCGGGUUGGUUCCGUGAACGUCGCGUUUGUGAGGACCCGUUCGACUACGUCCGUUUGUCUUCUUCAUGGACUCGUUCUUCUUCCUUGCGGGAUUUCAGGCAAGAUGACCAUACCCUCGAAAUCACUUCUAUCUUUGCUUGCUAGUUGCUCGCUCUUUUGCUAUGCCUAUGAUGCGAUACCUACCACUUGUUUAUCAUGCCUCCCAUUUUGUUAAGCCAAGCCUCUAACCCACCUUGUCCUAGCAAACCGUUGUUUGGCUAUGUUACCGCUUUGCUCAGCCCCUCUUAUAGGGUUGUUAGUUGCAGGUGAAGAUUGGAGCUUGUUCCAUGUUUGGAACAUGGAUAUUUUGUUGGGAUAUCACAAUAUCUCUUAUUUAUUUAAUGCAUCUAUAUACUUGGUAAAGGGUGGAAGGCUUGGCCUUAUGCCUGGUGUUUUGUUCCACUCUUGCCGCCCUAGUUUCAGUCAUAUCGGUGUUAUGUUCCCAGAUUUUGCGUUCCUUAUGCGGUUGGGUUAUAAUGGGAACCCCUUGACAGUUCGCCUUGAAUAAAACUCCUCCAGCAAGGCCCAACCUUGGUUUUACCAUUCGCAACCUAGCCUCUUUUUCCCUUGGGUUAGGCCAGCCCAAGGGUCAUCUUAUUUUAACCCCCCCCUUGAGCCAGUGCUUGUCUAAGUGUUGGUCCAACCGAGCGAUGUCCAGAGCUACCAGGGGCAACUCUGGGCUGGCCCACCCGACGUCUUGCUCAUCCGGUGUGCCCUGAGAACGAGAUAUGUGGAGAUCCUAUCGGGAUUUGUCGGCACAUCUGGGUGGUUUUGCUGGACUUGUUUUACCAUUGUCGAGGAUGUCUUGAAGAACCGGGAUACCGAGUCUGAUCGGAAUGUCUCGGGAGGAGGUCUAUUCCUUCGUUGACCGUGAGAGCUUGUCAUGGGCUAAGUUGGGACUCCCUUGCAGGGAUCUGAACUUUCGAAAGCUGUGCCCACGGUUAUGGGCAGAUGGGAAUUUGUUAAUGUCCGAUUGUAGAUAACGUGAACCUUAAUUUAAUUAAAAUGAAUCAACAGUGUGAGUUACCGUGAUGGUCUCUUUUCGGCGGAGUCCGGGAAGCGAACACGGUGUUGGAGUAAUGUUUGUCGCAGCUUGUCCUCUAGUUUUUUAACCGUGCUUUGCCUUCUCUUCUCGCUCUCUUUUGCGAAUAGGUUAGCCACCAUAUAUGCUAGUCGCUUGCUGCAGCUCCACAUAUUUACCCUUGCCUUACCUAUAAGCUUAAAUAGUCUUGAUCGCGAGGGUGCGAGAUUGCUGAGUCCCUGUGGCUCACAGAUUACUUCCAAACCAAUUUGCAGGUGCCGUUGAACUGUGCAGAUGACGCAACCAAGCUCAAGGAGGAGCUCGAUGAAGAUAUUGUCCUUUGUGUCGUUUCGUUCUAGUUGAUCAGUAGUGGAGCCCAGUUGGGGUCGAUCGGGGACCUUUGUCGCAUUUGGGGUUCUUCUUUUAUUUUGGUUCCGUAGUCGGACCUUGAUUGUAUUUGGAUGUUGUAAUGCUUUAUUCAUGUAAUUGUGUGAAGUGGCGAUUGUAAGCCAACUAUGUAUCCUUUUCCCCUAUUGUAUUACAUGGAUUGUGUGAAUAUUACCUCACUUGCGACAUUGCCUUCAAUGCGGUUAUGCCUCUAAGUCGUGCUUCGACACGUGGGAGAUAUAGCCGCAUCGAGGGCGUUACAAGUUGGUAAUCAGAGCCUUCCCUGACCUUAGGAGCCCCAUUGCUUGAUCGUUUUUUUAGCGGCCGAGUUGUGUCUAGAAAAAUGUUUUGAGUCAUUUAGGAAUUAUAUAUCGGAGAGUUUAGGAAUUCUUUUUACUUCCCAGUCUCCUCAUCGCUCUGGUAAGGCAUCCCAACGUAGAGUUUUGACUCUUCUCUUCUCAAAUUUCACUAAAAAAAAUUUAGGAUCACGCGGGUAUCUUGGAAUCGUUCCGAUGGUUUUGUGACGAGAACAUUGUCUUGGUGCCUCCUGUCAGGGGUUGUGGCAGUGUCCCGGGGAGUUGAGCUCCGAGGUGUUGUCAUCACAAUUUUAUCGUUGCAGUUCUGGAAUACCUGAGUUUAGUUCGCCGACAUCGAAAAUCUCUUUUAUGAAGUUCGUUGGUGAGAUAACCUCGAUGCCACCCAUUACUGGGGCGGGAGUUCGGGAGUAUCGCCAUAACUCGUAUAACGGAUGCUUUUCGAAGGUUGAGGUAGAUGGUUUCCGAAGUUUUUCUCGGUUAUAUGUUGAAGGAUGGAUACAGCUGGAUGUAGGAUUUGCUAGUUUGGGUGAGAUAUUAUGCUUCCCCUGUAUCCUCAACACCUGAUGGCAUAACCGGAAAGGUUCGGGAGUUUAUAAGUGGGAAUUGAAGUAGCUCGUAGGAAUUUCUUUCCAACUGACACAUGAUAUGAUAUGGGGUCUAUCAUAUGUUUGUUCCGGCUUAUUCUGCAAGCCAAUCCUUUGUUUUGUUUUGAGUUGUUGUAUUCGAGUUGCUUCAAUGUCAAAUUUUGAUUCCAUACCCUCCCCCAAAUGUUGUUCUCAUACUUCGGUGUGAAUACUAAUCCUUCUCGAUCAUCGAGUUUGUCAUUUCAAUUUCUUGUCAACUGGUGUGCUUCUCUUCAAGUGGAUCCGAUCAUUUCAACAUCAGUAAGAUCAAUUAUCAGUUCUUCUCAACGGUGUUUGUUUCAUCCAUCUCCAAGUUGUCUUUGUUUUCCCACCCUCCCACCCCUUUUCUUCAAGGAUUCAGAUUUCUUAUUCAAGUAUCCUUUUUAUUGAUGGGAAGCCUCUCCAUUCCUUUUCCGUCAAUAUUCUUAUCCGGUGAUUCUCAGGAAGAUUCUAAUGGAGCUUCAAGUUUGUCAUUCUUCUUUCUUUUCAUCUCCGGUGGUUUCAAGUCAAGCUUUGUUGAUCAUAUCUUUUCCUAGUUUCAAUGUUUUCUCAUGCCGGUGCAAUUCUUAAUGAUUCACCUCUCGCUAUUCAAUUGUUUCGGAGUGCUCAAGAUAUCUCGAAGAUUCGUGUUUCCACUCUGCAGUCGUUCAAGAUCUUUUGAGGAUGUUAUCUCAUUCAAGCCAUUUAAUUCUAUCGGUGCAAUCUCUCUUUCAAAUCAUUCAACGGUGUUUUCUUUUGAGUGGGCCCCAACCCACAGGUCUUUUCCCAGGGUCUUACCUGACUCUUCUUAUUUUCCCGGAGCUAUCCUAAAUUAAUUUCAAAUUUGACGUAAGAAUGAUUCACCAUCGGUCUUAUGUUUUCUCCAAGAUCUUUCAAAUUCUUUUCAUUGUUGGCUCAACCUCUUCGUUUUGAUUCUUCCGGAGUGCCUAAAUAAGUCAUUAUGGUAUUUCUCGUCGUCAUUCUCAGAUUUUGAAGACCGAAGAAGGCUUGUUCCUCCAUAUAUUGCUCCAUUCUCUUCAAGAUUCGUGAUUCCACCUUGUUGCCAUCCUCUCAUAAUUAUAUUCGAUUGUGAGAAUUCUUUUCACCCAUUCGGUGCAAUUCAAGGGUAUUUUCAGUUCGAUUAUCCGGAGCCCAUCAUUUCAGAAGACUUGUUCAUUCUUAGCUUUCAGCUAUGGUUCUCUAAAUCUUACCGAUGCAUCGAUCAAUUAUCCUCUAUCAGUUCUUGAUCUCUUUAUUCUCAUGUAACUAAAUCCCGUCAAGCUUCUUCAUUCAUUUGCUAAUUCUUCCCAGUGUUGCUUUAUCUUUACUCCGUUCAUUUUCAUUUCUUACGGUGGUUCGUUCAAGAGUUUUUCUUCCUUCGUGUAUCAUAUCUAUGCAUUCGUGCUUUUCAAAUUCUACCGGUGGAUCGUUGAAGACCUUCCCAAGUUCAUGCUAUAUCUCUCUUCAAUCCGUUGCAACUGGAAUAAGUAGUAUGCGAAAUCCGUUUCUUGUCAUCAAUUUAAUUGGUGAAGGUUAAGCAUAAUGUAAUUCUUAUUAUUGUUUCAUCCAAAUGAUUAAUUCCCUAUUCCGGAGGUUCAUCAAAAUUCUUGAUCUCAAUUGUUCAUCUUAUCUUUUCUUCCCGGAGUUCCAACCUCUUUCAAUUAUAUCGCCACUGAGAUCCAUCUAAAUCAUUACAAGGCUUCAAUCUUAUUCUUUUUGUCAUUCAAUUAUUUUGGAUCAUUCUUUUAUUACCGGAGUUCUUCACGGAGGUUCUACAUGAUGGUUCAUCUAUGAUUUAAUUCAUUCUCGAAGUGUUCAUCAAGAUUCUUUUCUAAGAAGGUCAAGCUUUCUUCUUCUUGCAAUCCGGAGUGCAAUUCUUUCUACCAUAUUAUUGGAGGUGGUAUUGUGUCAUUCUUGAUAAUUUGAGUUCAUGUUUCAUGAUUCACAUGUUGUUAAGAAUGAGGUAUUUUAAAUCCAUCGAUCUCGUCAUUAGAGUUAUCUGGGUUAUAUUCCACCUAAAGCCUUCCCUCAGGAUUGUUGCUAUCCAUGGUGCUUAUAAAUGAUCCAAUUUCUUCAUUUAUCCUUUCCGGUGCGAUAAGCUUCUCGUCUCCUUGUUCUUAUCAAUCCAAUUCUUUUCCCAUGAGUGGCAGUUUGUCACCUCAUAAUUUGAGAUGUAUUCCAUAAGACCAUAUCAAGCUUAUCCUUUUUCGUUGUUGGUUUUCCAACAACUCUGUCCGAACCUUAUCCUAAGGAUGCCUUUUCAAACUCUUUUGUGACAGAAGUUGUCUUUUCUUCUCCAUUCUUUUAUUUCAAUGAUCUAGCUUCUAUUUCUCUCUUCCGGAGGCAUUGCGAUGUUUUUCUUUUCACCCAUCAUCUUGUUUUGUCAAAGAUCAUGUUUUUUUCGUGCUUAUCCAUUUAACCGGAGUGCUGUCUGAAGCUGUUCUCCCUUGUUCCUCUUUUCUAGCGGUGUGUUUUCGAUUUUGUUCAUCUCCGUUGUAUUCUUUCUUUCAGUUUGUUCAACUUUUCAAGGUUUCUUGGUUUCACUCGUUUGUCAAAGAAACAACUUAGUUUUACCUCUUCUCUUUCUCUUCCGUUUUCCCUCCGGUGGCAUUCUAGAUCUCGGGACGAGAUCCUCUCAUACUGGUGGAGUGUUGUGACGCCCCAAGGCGGGAGCUUCAGAUGCCUUCCAGGGUUUCCGGGUUUUCGUCGUGUGAGUUGUUGGUUUGUUGCAUUCAUCUUUGCAUCAUGUGCAUUGCAUCAUGUCAUAAAUCUUUUGCAUCUCAAUUAAAUAAUUUGUGUGGAUCUUCGAUCCAUUUAAAUCGAGGGAAGGAUGACUUCUCUUUAUAAUAUAUCCUCCCGAUAUUAGUGGAGCUAUUAUAAAAUUAUCCAUUCUUAUGGAAUCACCUAAAACACACUUGCAAAUUUCCCCAUGCCUUUGUUAUCUCGCUG